rnacentral:rRNA from 1 species
AACGAACGCUGGCGGCGCGUCUUAAACAUGCAAGUCGAACGGCAGGAAGGGGCUUGCCCCUUCUGAGAGUGGCGGACUGGUGAGUAACACGUGGGUGACAUACCUUUUAGUUGGGGAUAGCUAUUAGAAAUAGUAGGUAAUACCGAAUGUGACCGUACCUGUUAGAGGGGUACGAGGAAAGGAGCUAGGGCUUCGCUAAAAGAAUGGCUCGCGGCCCAUUAUGCUCGUUGGUGAGGUAACGGCCCACCAAGGCGAUGAUGGGUAUCCGGCCUGAGAGGGUGAACGGACACAUUGGGACUGAGAUACGGCCCAGACUUCUACGGGAGGCAGCAGUUAAGAAUAUUCCGCAAUGGACGAAAGUCUGACGGAGCGACGCCGCGUGGAUGAAGAAUGCCGGAAGGUUGUAAAAUCCUUUUAAGCCUGAUGAAUAAGCACAGUAGGGAAUGAUUGUGCGGUGACCGUAGGGCUUGAAUAAGCACCGGCUAAUUACGUG